rnacentral:tRNA from 1 species
GAGGGUAUAGUUUAGUGAUAAAGUGUGUGCUUAGCAUGUACAUGGUCCUGGGUUUAACCCCCAGUACUCCUG